AACAAGCUGAAACAGUCACCUGACGUGCGAGAUCGUUUUCUCAACGCUGAUUUCUUCGUCUCUUCCUCUCCAUUAGAAACCCUACGCUAUGCACUAACCAAACAUGGUGCGUGGUGCGCCUAUAGGGCGCAACUCAGCAAUACUUCCAAAAUUUCAAUUCCAAAAUAAAAGACUCCACCGCCAAAGAUAAUUUCAAUUCCAAAAUUCAGUCCCUAACGUCUCUUUUUCCUCAUUCGCCCUCUCAAGAGCCUGAACCGCCAAAGUUCCAUCUGACAUGCGAACUCGUUUUCUCAACACCGAUUACUUCGCCUCUUCUUCCUCUCCAAUCGAAACCCUGAGCUUCCCCAAUUUCGCAGUCCCUCAUCUACCUCCUUCGCGUCUAUUUAACUACUUCGAUUCACCGGUAGACGUCUCUUUCGUGAUCGAGACGUUGCUGAUCGAUCUCGCUCUCUGUAAGUUGUUGGCAGAAGUGAUUCCUCAACCUGUCGAGGUCAGAUAUGGCGAUUUUGAGGCAGAUCGCUUCCUGGACAAUGAAGUUUCCGCUGAUAGCGAAGGGAGAGUUGAGUCUCGAUUCUAUAAGGUGUACAACUUCUGAUUUGUACUCUAUAGUGUAUACGUAAUUUCAUCCGUGCAAUUGCGUUUGAAAUUUCACGAUUCUGAUUAAUCAUUCAUCAGGAAGAUAUUCGUUUUUGCUUUGAACUUACGUUCACAAAUCUAGAUAAUCUAUAGUUUUUCAUUAUUUGUUUUUGUGAAAUUAUAUAUGCAGGCAUGUAGGAUCUUUUCGUUUGUGUGUAAAUAUGUGAGUUCAAGUAUAAGUGACUCUGAAUUUCGUUCUGAUAAUUUAUCGUCAUGCUCACGGAGUGUUAAUUGACCUAAUCAAUGUCACAGUUGAAGCUUGCAUAUGAGAACUGCUGAUUGUUAUUUCUGGUUACUGAGUAACUACACGAGGAUGGCAUGGCACUUAAACUUUUUCAAUAUAAUUUGUGACAAAUUUAGAAGGGAAAAAUUAUAAAUCCUACUUAAAAACUUACAAUUAUUGCCUUUGUUAGGUACCAACAUUUUAUUUGUUCCUUUUGUAUACUUCCUUUAUUCCUGGCAUCACUUUCUAUUUCUGGCCAGAAAUUUCAUUAUUCCAUUAAGUAUUAAGUAGCUUAUGAUUGAUCACUAAUUAAGUUUUUACAUUUCCUCUGCAUUUGACCUCACAGUACUAAAAUUACGUCGAAGGAUUCUUAAACUAGUGAUUGUUGCUCUCCGGGGCUCCUUCUAUUGUCUAUAUUUGUAUUUAAUUGCAAAAAGAAGCUGAGACAUUCUAUGAGGAUGGAGAAGUGGAAAAACACGGACGUUUUGGAUCUAAAACUCUGGAUGUUGAAUUAUCAAGAGAGAAUAAUGGGACUGCUUGUUGUACCAACACUUUUGAAGUAAUUCAAUUUGAGACACGAGCUGGAUGUGUUCUCCGUAAAGACAGAAAAUUAUAUGGACUUGGAUAUACCUUGAUUCUACAUCUAUAUAAAUUCAUUUUACAUACACUUUUCAUGUGAUUUUGCAGGAGAGUGCCUGCUUUUAUGAGAAAGAGGAGAUGCAUAUGUUCUUUGAAGUUCUAGAAAUUGAGCAUAAUGUUGUAAAUACCUGAGUCAUCUUUUCACUCAGUCUUUAUGUAAUGCAUUUCAAAUUUGGAUUCAGUAUCCCUAGUGUAUGUCUUAGAUACUUUGUAAUGGACAAGCUGCUUUCCGAUUUUACAAUAACCAGGAAUCAUUAUCUUGAAUGGCAUUUAAUUUGGUAGUUUUUUUGUACAACAGUUCUUUCUAACUUUGUGAUUAUUGAAGUGAUAAGAAAAAUUGAUAGAGUAGGUUGAAAAAAGUUUCACCAGGUCUUGAUGUUAUAAGAGAUGCUGAAGACUGGUAUUAAUGUGCAAAAUGUGGGAAAGGCUCUUAUAGAUUCUGACUGUUUCAGUUUCUGGUUUGUUUGCUGUUUGUGUUUCUAUAAUCAUAAAUGAAGAUUUGGUCUAACUUCGCUCUUUCUCUCAGGAUAUGUUCGUGCCAGGGCUUACCACACAGUAUUCUAAUAAGGUUCAAGGGUCAGUUUAUUCCGUAGAAGAUGUUCUAGUUGAGUGUCCAAUGGAACAAACAGCCAAUGUGUCUGAAGAUGCUAGUUCAGUUCUGGAUAAAACACAGUACCACCUUAGCACGUUCCCUCUAUAGGAAUUGAAGAGACAAACCUGGGAAUUCUGUCAAACAUGAUUAUGUCGGAUGAACUUAUUUCAUUUAUUGAUAAUAUUGAACCCCAUGAAUGGACUAGAACGGAUGAACAUCCUAUUAGCAAAAAGGACCUUUAAGGUUAUAUGGUAUGAUAUUGUAGAUUUCAUUGGGAUCAUUGUCUGUCAAAGCAGUACCUUGAAUCUGAACUGGCCUCCCUGGAAGGUUGGAAGUAGAGUAGACGUUAUAAGCAUGGUGGAUUCUCUAAAAAUGAAUGAGGACUCUGCAUUUCAUCGAUGGGCAUCAGACAGUGGCUCUUCCUUGUCAUAUAUCCCAGUUCUUUUUCAGGAGUUCGAGAUUAUUGAUGUGAACUCAUCUCGUCUAUGGGCUGGAAACAUGUGACUCUCCAUUCAGAAAGGAUGCGAACUUCAAAAAUUUUGAUGAAAUGAUUGUCAGUAAUGAGCUAAUCCUGGUAGAUGACACAUUCAAAUCAUAGCGUUCACCGAAUGUCUCUGAUCAUGCACGGAUAAGAUCACUUGAUACCAUAAUGGAGGAUAUAAUGGGUGAAGUUAAACCAGAACCGCCCUCUAUGGUGCAACAUCACUAUCAAACGCCAUUGGUUCAGUUCAUCCACAACCAGGAUCACCGUGGACAAUAGAGUUUCUUAACCGAAUUAGGGGAAAGAGCUGACUGCAGCAGCAGUCCCUUCCAUGUGAUGCACCUUCACAAGGUUCUGAUUAUUCACAGAAUACAUCAUGAUCUACAAAGAGAAGAAGUCCAUUGAGCCUUGAAUUUUUCAGCUACCAAGGAAGCAGCUCACAUGGUAAGAUACCUGGAGGAAAGAGGCAGAAACAAUGUACACGGUCAUCAAGCUCAUCCAAGAAUGAGGGUGCUUCAACUUCCUUUCAGCCAACAUGAACACCCAUUGAGAAGAGAGCUAGACAGGUCAUGGUUUCAAUUAUAGAAACAGCCUCUCCGAGGCUUCAUAUAUCUUGUCCUUCCCAGUCCUCGCUUCCACCACCGGAGUUUUGUGCACGGGAGUUAACCUUCAGCUUUAUAUUGUAAGUGACUUACGUACCAUGCAGACUCUAUCUUUUGCCUUAAACGAAAGUGGAAACCAAGCUAAACUGGUCUAGAGUGCUAGCAAUACUCAUUGUCCAAACAAAAAAUUUCAGAAUUAUUUUUGAUGAUGCUCCAGAUGGUUUAUACGUCCAACCCUGCCUACACUGCUGCAGUUGGUGUCAACUUGACAGUCACUUCAACAUUUUGUUUGAAGCAUACAUGUGAACGUGCUUCUGCAAAGACUGAAUCCCAUGAAUAGAGAAGUAGAAGAAAGAAUGAUAAGAAUUACAUUGAGACGAGAAAUAAGAUGGAACUAACAUGUAAGACGGAACCAGAGUUGGCAAAUUUAAGGGGCAGAGAGACGGUCAAUGCUUCAUUUUGUGCCACGAAGUCUGCAAAAUCAAUUGAAGCUUCCCCAAGGAAACCUGCUUUUGAUGAUCCCUGCAGGAACUCAUAAAAGUUAUAGAGAACCAGCAAGAGGGAUAAGAAAAGCAGAAUUCUUAUAGACUGAUUAUUACUUACAGAUGAAACUAGGAAAUGGUUCCAUCUUCAACUGCAGCUUUCUCCAGUUUAAAUGUCGUCUUUCCAACAUCCUCUGGCACCAAUGAUAUGGUCAGGGCUGGUUUCUUCAAUCGGGGCACCUGAAAAGCCAGGACUUGAACAUGUUUGACUCAGAAUCUCAAUUACAAGACUCAAAAUCUUUUCUCGAGUAGUGCUGCCAAGUGGGGAACUGUUUUUUGUGACAGAUUCGGGGCACGGCCACACUAGAUGGAGAAGAAGGGAUGAGAAGUAUGAGGUGAGAAGUACAAGAAGGUGAGAGAGAUUUGACCUAAUUCACUUAAGAUUAUUAUUCACAAUAUGAGCUCAAGUCCAUGUGACUUUGUCAUUCAAAAGAUGUCUCAUUUGUUUGAAGUUGGGUUUACACUUGUAAACCACAUUUUUUUACGUAUACCAGACGGAUGUAGAAUUUUUUACAAGUCUUAACACAGAUGGAUUCGUAUGGACCAAUGAAAUCGAAAUAGAAAAUCUUGACAUUCAUUUA